rnacentral:rRNA from 1 species
UUGGAGGGCAAGUCUGGUGCCAGCAGCCGCGGUAAUUCCAGCUCCAAUAGCGUAUAUUAAAGUUGUUGCAGUUAAAAAGCUCGUAGUUGAAUUUCGGGAUCAGCAGGUUGGUCGUGCCUCUGGUAUGCACUGGUUUCGCUGAUUCCUCCUUUCUGAAGAACUGUAAUGUCAUUAAUUUGGUGUUGCAGGGAAACAGGACUGUUACUUUGAAAAAAUUAGAGUGUUUAAAGCAGGCUAACGCUUGAAUACAUUAGCAUGGAAUAAUGAAAUGGGACGUUUGAUCCUAUUUUGUUGGUUUCUAGGAUUGACGUAAUGAUUAAUAGGGAUAGUUGGGGGCAUUAGUAUUCAAUUGUCAGAGGUGAAAUUCUUGGAUUUAUUGAAGACUAACUACUGCGAAAGCAUUUGCCAAGGAUGUUUUCAUUAAUCAAGAACGAAAGUUAGGGGAUCGAAGACGAUCAGAUACCGUCGUAGUCUUAACCAUAAACUAUGCCGACUAGGGAUCGGAUGAUGUUAAUUUUUUAAUGACUCAUUCGGCGCCUUACGGGAAAC